UACAGAGGUGGCAAGCGUUGUUCGGAAUUACUGGGCGUAAAGGGCGCGUAGGCGGCCUUCUAAGUCAGACGUGAAAUCCCCCGGCUUAACCUGGGAACUGCGUCUGAUACUGGAGGGCUUGAGUAUGGGAGAGGUGAGUGGAAUUUCCGGUGUAGCGGUGAAAUGCGUAGAUAUCGGAAGGAACACCUGUGGCGAAAGCGGCUCACUGGACCAUUACUGACGCUGAGGCACGAAAGCUAGGGGAGCAAACAGG
rnacentral:rRNA from 1 species